rnacentral:rRNA from 1 species
AUUGAACGCUGGCGGCAGGCCUAACACAUGCAAGUCGAGCGGAUGAAGGGAGCUUGCUCCUGGAUUCAGCGGCGGACGGGUGAGUAAUGCCUAGGAAUCUGCCUGGUAGUGGGGGAUAACGUCCGGAAACGGGCGCUAAUACCGCAUACGUCCUGAGGGAGAAAGUGGGGGCUCUUCGGACCUCACGCUAUCAGAUGAGCCUAGGUCGGAUUAGCUAGUUGGUGGGGUAAAGGCCUACCAAGGCGACGAUCCGUAACUGGUCUGAGAGGAUGAUCAGUCACACUGGAACUGAGACACGGUCCAGACUCCUACGGGAGGCAGCAGUGGGGAAUAUUGGACAAUGGGCGAAAGCCUGAUCCAGCCAUGCCGCAUGUGUGAAGAAGGUCUUCGGAUUGUAAAGCACUUUAAGUUGGGAGGAAGGGCAGUAAGUUAAUACCUUGCUGUUUUGACGUUACCAACAGAAUAAGCACCGGCUAACUUCGUG